rnacentral:misc_RNA from 1 species
CGCUAUGCUCAUUACAACAAAUGCUGAUGUAAUCUAAUAACAAGAUUCCAUCUUUUUUUUUUUUUUUU